AUUGAACGCUGGCGGCAGGCCUAACACAUGCAAGUCGAGCGGAUGAAGGGAGCUUGCUCCUGGAUUCAGCGGCGGACGGGUGAGUAAUGCCUAGGAAUCUGCCUGGUAGUGGGGGAUAACGUCCUGAAACGGGCGCUAAUACCGCAUACGUCCUGAGGGAGAAAGUGGGGGAGCUUCGGACCUCACGCUAUCAGAUGAGCCUAGGUCGGAUUAGAUAGUUGGUGGGGUAAAGGCCUACCAAGGCGACGAUCCGUAACUGGUCUGAGAGGAUGAUCAGUCACCUUGGAACUGGGACACGGUCCAGGGGCCUACGGGAGGCAGCAGUGGGGAAUGUGGGACAAUGGGCGGAAACCUGAUCCAGCGGUGGGGAGUGUGUGGAGAAGGUCUUCGGAUUGUAAAGCACGUUAAGUUGGGAGGAAGGGCAGUAAGUUAAUACCUUGCUGUUUUGACGUUAACAACAGAAUAAGCACCGGCUAACUUCGUG
rnacentral:rRNA from 1 species